UACAGAGGGUGCGAGCGUUGUCCGGAAUCACUGGGCGUAAAGGGCGCGUAGGCGGCCUGAUAAGUAGGGGGUGAAAUCCUGUGGCUUAACUGCAGUGCUGCCUCCUAGACUGUUAGGCUCGAGCACGGUAGAGGCAGAUGGAAUUCCCGGUGUAGCGGUGGAAUGCGUAGAGAUCGGGAAGAACAUCGGUGGCGAAGGCGGUCUGCUGGGCCGUUGCUGACGCUGAGGCGCGACAGCGUGGGGAGCAAACAGG
rnacentral:rRNA from 1 species